GACGAACGCUGGCGGCGUGCUUAACACAUGCAAGUCGAACGGUAAGGCCCCUUCGGGGGUACACGAGUGGCGAACGGGUGAGUAACACGUGAGCAACCUGCCCUUGACUCUGGAAUAACAGUUGGAAACAGCUGCUAAUACUGGAUAUUCAUCGUCUCCUUCCUGGGGGGUGGUGGAAAGCUCCGGCGGUCAGGGAUGGGCUCGCGGCCUAUCAGCUUGUUGGUGAGGUAAUGGCUCACCAAGGCUUCGACGGGUAGCCGGCCUGAGAGGGCGACCGGCCACACUGGGACUGAGAUACGGACCAGACUCCUACGGGAGGCAGCAGUGGGGAAUAUUGCACAAUGGGCGCAAGCCUGAUGCAGCAACGCCGCGGGCGGGAUGACGGCCUUCGGGUUGUAAACCGCUUUCAGUAGGGACGAAGGGUGACUGACGGUACCUACAGAAGAAGGACUGGCUAACUACGUG
rnacentral:rRNA from 1 species